rnacentral:lncRNA from 1 species
AAAAUAAGGAGACUAUUUAUUUACAUUGCCAAUGAGAAUUAACAUAUCCAUGCACCAAAGUUGAAACAAUAGACAGUUAAUGUACUGAGUACAAAAUCUUUCAGUAACACAAGCAUAUAUAUAUAUAUAUAUAUAUAUAUAUUACAAUAUCAAAUGUAACAUCAUGUAAAACCAUCGUAGAGUAAAAGAAAAGAAUCACACAUAUGAUUGCCAACCAGACAACCAUGCAUUAGAGACCAUUAUUUGAUUAAAAUUAUACUGAGGCUUGUUAUAAGCCAGAUUUAAUGUUAGAAUAAAAUUUAUGAUUUCUAGAUUACAAAAGUAAAAAAUAAUUUUGACAAAUUAUUGAGUAUCUUAGACAUAUUUAUGCCAUACUGAACACUUUGCAUCAAUAUUUCCUAUAAUCAGAUAAGACAUAAAAAUUGUAACUGUGGCAAACGUUAACUGGAAUAACAUAAAAAUCUAGUAAAAUACAUGUAUAGAUUUUGGAAUAGUAUUCCUGUGUAUUAAAUACAGGGCUCAUAUAAAAACAAAUGAGCAUAGAAAAAUAUAGACAUCACAGGAUGAGGUGUGCUUCAUCAUCUGCAUCAUCAUCUUCCUCAUGUUCUGAAUCAGAAUCAUUAUCUUCAAAAACAGGAUAACCACAUUUAACUCUAUCAAUAAUAUUAUAUAUACAAUUGUGAUAAACGAGUCGUUUGUCGUCGACAUCAUUCCUUUGGCAAAAUGGUGUCAAAGAUUUUUCCUGAUAACUUCCAUAUUUAUGUUUACUGUAUAAUUAAAAGGCUUUAAGGAUGCUAGUUCGCUACUCUGUAAAAAAAAAAUAACAAGCUUUUCAACAGACUAUUAUGAAUUGAUAGUACAUAAAUAAAGAAACUAAAAAAGUAGAAAAAAAAUGGAGGGUCCGUGUGCUUGUUUUCGAGAUAUAAGCCAUUGAA